AGUUUACUGCCUAAUGAAAUUAUUUAAGUUAUUACCAGUCAUGUUGCUUAAAAAGUAGGGAUUAUAUGAACAUAUUUUAAGACAAAACACUUGCGGUUGAAACAUUUGGUAACCUGUGGUAAAUAAUGUCAGAAUAAAGUUUAGAAGUCCUUUGCUGGUUAGUUGAUAUACUGCUGAUAGUCAAAUCAUUGUUGUUCUUGUAUUGGUGUAAUCAUUUUCUUUGUUUUAACAGGGUCAGCAAAAUGCUCAUCAAUGUCCAGUACCAUGGAGAAAAAAGUACCUCAAACUGCAGCCUGGUUUUUCCUUUCAAAGUUUAAUUCGAGAAGGCACCACUGGUGCAAAAGAAGAGAACACCUCUGCCAUAGGAGAUUCAGCAGAAAAAAGCCAAACAGAUGGUCCAGGAGGUUCUGGAGAAGAGUUAAAUGGGAGAGGAAAUAAUGGAGGAGUAUAGUAGAGCACCUUGACACACUACAAGAAGGCAUCUUCUGAAUAUCCUGGUCCAUGGGAUACCAGUACGAAGUCAAGGAAAAAGAUAUGCACUCGGCAUUGUGACUGUUUCCUAAUCUCAGGGAUCCUUACUCCACCAAUGGCUAUGAACACUUCU